rnacentral:rRNA from 1 species
GAUGAACGCUGGCGGCGUGCCUAACACAUGCAAGUCGAGCGAACCUUUCGGGGUGAGCGGCGGACGGGUGAGUAACGCGUGGGUAACCUGCCCUAUACACACGGAUAACGUACCGAAAGGUACGCUAAUACGGGAUAAAGUUGUUGGAUGGCAUCUUCUAACAAUCAAAGCUCCGGCGGUAUAGGAUGGACCCGCGUCUGAUUAGCUAGUUGGUGAGGUAAUGGCUCACCAAGGCGACGAUCAGUAGCCGACCUGAGAGGGUGAUCGGCCACACUGGAACUGAGACACGGUCCAGACUCCUACUGGGGGCAGCAGUGGGGAAUAUGGCACAACGGGCGAAAGCCUGAUGCAGCAACGCCGCGUGAGCGAUGAAGGUCUUCGGGUCGUAAAGCUCUGUCCUCAAGGAAGAUAAUGACGGUACUUGAGGAGGAAGCCCCGGCUAACUACGUGCCAGCCGCCGCCGUAA